GCCCCCGUACCCCAACGGCAGAGGGAGCGGAUUCAAAACCCGCACAGUGUGCGUUCGAGUCGCACCGGGGGCA
rnacentral:tRNA from 1 species